ensembl:piRNA 21ur-6713 ncRNA
UAUUUGCGGCAAAACUCUAUG